GUAUACGUGGUUUGGUGGUUAAGGCAUUGGCGUUCUAAGCUAGCGACCCGGGUUCGAUUCCCGGCAGAGAUC
rnacentral:tRNA from 1 species